GGGCCCGCACAAGCGGUGGAGCAUGUGGUUUAAUUCGAUGAUACGCGAGGAACCUUACCAGGGCUUAAAUGUAAGUUGCAUAGAUCAGAGAUGGUCUUUUCUUCGGACUACUUACAAGGUGCUGCAUGGUUGUCGUCAGCUCGUGCCGUGAGGUGUCAGGUUAAGUCCUAUAACGAGCGCAACCCCCUGUCGUUAGUUGCCAGCAAGUUAAGUUCGGGCACUCUAGCGAGACUGCCAGUGCAAACUGUGAGGAAGGUGGGGAUGACGUCAAAUCAUCACGGCCCUUACGUCCUGGGCUACACACGUGCUACAAUGGCCGGUACAGAGAGCAGCCACUACCGCGAGUAGGAG
rnacentral:rRNA from 1 species